rnacentral:rRNA from 1 species
GACGAACGCUGGCGGCGUGCCUAAUACAUGCAAGUAGAACGCACAGUUUAUACCGUAGCUUGCUACACCAUAGACUGUGAGUUGCGAACGGGUGAGUAACGCGUAGGUAACCUGCCUGGUAGCGGGGGAUAACUAUUGGAAACGAUAGCUAAUACCGCAUAAUAUUAAUUAUUGCAUGAUAAUUAAUUGAAAGGUGCAAUUGCACCACUACCAGAUGGACCUGCGUUGUAUUAGCUAGUAGGUGAGGUAACGGCUCACCUAGGCGACGAUACAUAGCCGACCUGAGAGGGUGAUCGGCCACACUGGGACUGAGACACGGCCCAGACUCCUACGGGAGGCAGCAGUAGGGAAUCUUCGGCAAUGGACGAAAGUCUGACCGAGCAACGCCGCGUGAGUGAAGAAGGUUUUCGGAUCGUAAAGCUCUGUUGUAAGAGAAGAACGGGUGUGAGAGUGGAAAGUUCACACUGUGACGGUAUCUUACCAGAAAGGGACGGUUAACUACGUG